GAUUUCUGGCACGAUGCGCCUCGCCCGUCCUCGUCAGAGGCACGUGUGCGGGUGUGCGUGUGCCAUCUUUCUAGGCUGGGUCGCUAACCUUCAUUGGAUUGGCGUUCUCAUCUAGAUCUUUUACUUUGAAAAAAUUAGAGUGUUUAAAGCAGGCUUUCGCUAUGAAUACAUUAGCAUGGAAUAAUAAUUUAGGACUUUGUUUCUAUUUUGUUGGUUUCUAGAGGCGAAGUAAUGAUUGAUAGGGAUAGUUGGGGGUGCUAGUAUUCAGCGGCCAGAGGUGAAAUUCUUGGAUUCGCUGAAGACUAACUUAUGCGAAAGCAUU
rnacentral:rRNA from 1 species